rnacentral:other from 1 species
GAAUUCCUGAGGUGUACGAAUAACCUGGGAUGUUCAACCGACAGAAUGAAUACGGGAGUUCGAGUUUUGCGUGGUAUGUCAUACUUGCAUGACAAGAAGGCAGAAAUCGCAAACAGGGCACCCACCUGCCGAAUGGCGGGUAUGAACAUGCAGGGGAACGGCAUCAUGGGAAUUUU